rnacentral:rRNA from 1 species
UAGGGAAUCUUCCACAAUGGACGCAAGUCUGAUGGAGCAACGCCGCGUGAGUGAAGAAGGUUUUCGGACCGUAAAGCUCUGUUGUUGGUGAAGAAGGAUAGAGGUAGUAACUGGCCUUUAUUUGACGGUAAUCAACCAGAAAGUCACGGCUAACUACGUGCCAGCAGCCGCGGUAAUACGUAGGUGGCAAGCGUUGUCCGGAUUUAUUGGGCGUAAAGCGAGCGCAGGCGGAAGAAUAAGUCUGAUGUGAAAGCCCUCGGCUUAACCGAGGAAUUGCAUCGGAAACUGUUUUCUUGAGUGCAGAAGAGGAGAGUAGAACUCCAUGUGUAGCGGUGGAAUGCGUAGAUAUAUGGAAGAAUACCAGUGGCGAAGGCGGCUCUCUGGUCUGCAACUGACGCUGAGGCUCGAAAGCAUGGGUAGCGAGCAGGAUUAGAUACCCUGGUAGUCCAUGCCGUAAACGAUGAGUGCUAAGUGUUGG